rnacentral:rRNA from 1 species
GACGAACGCUGGCGGCGUGCCUAAUACAUGCAAGUAGGACGCAGUUGCGAACGGGUGAGUAACGCGUAGGUAACUACCUAUUAGAGGGGGAUAACUAUUGGAAACGAUAGCUAAUACCGCAUACUAGUAGAUGGACCUGCGUUGUAUUAGCUAGUAGGUAGGGUAAUGGCCUACCUAGGCAACGAUACAUAGCCGAGCUGGGGAGGUGGUCGGCCAAACUGGGACUGAUGCACGGCCCAUACUCCUACUGGAGGCAGCAGUAGGGGAUCAUCGGCAAUGGGGGGAACCCUGACCGAGCAACGCCGCGGGAGUGAAGAAGGUUUUCGGAUCGUAAAGCUCUGUUGUUAAGGAAGCGGUACUUAACCAGAAAGGGACGGCUAACUACGUGCCAGCAGCCGCGGUAAUUC